UACGUAGGGUGCGAGCGUUGUCCGGAAUCACUGGGCGUAAAGGGAGCGUAGGCGGGUUCUUAAGUUAGGUGUUUAAUCCCGGGGCCCAACCCCGGACCGGCACUUAAAACUGGGAAUCUUGAAUAGUGGAGAGGUCAGUGGAAUUGGGGGUGUAGCGGUGGAAUGCGUAGAGAUCCCCAAGAACACCAGUUGCGAAGGCGGCUGACUGGACACAUAUUGACGCUGAGGCACGAAAGCGUGGGGAGCAAACAGG
rnacentral:rRNA from 1 species